CCCAAGCUUCUGCAAGGACCGUCGGGAAAAUAGUGCCUGGAAAAUAAUGGGUGGGACCCCUAGCCACAAGCGCCGAAGAGACACUGGAAGUGGGAAGCCCGAUCCCAAACAAAGGAAUCAGGAGGGCCCCUGCCCUCAGCAACCUUAAGAAAUGAGGACAAGGGCCUGAGAACUCCAACUGAAAAGACAGAAAAAAGGGCCCCCACAGACCAGAGGAAGAAGGGGCGGGGCUCGGACAGGUUGAUCCACAGUCAUUCACGUGGCUGUUAAGGCUGACAGGAUUUUGUGGUUGUCUCCAUUCCCGAGGCUACGUGGACGCCCUUCCUGGGAGCACAUCUCCAGUGUCCUCUGGGGAGUAGUGGAGAACUGACUGACCAUGACCUCUAUAAAGGAACAGGCAGCAAUUAGCCGGCUCUUGAGUUUUUUACAAGAUUGGGACAACGCCGGCAAAGUCGCAAGGAGUCACAUCCUCGACAGUUUCAUUGAAACCAACCAAGGCAAGACUGCCCCUGAACUGGAGCAGGAGUUUUCCCAGGGAGCCAGCUUGUUCCUGGUGCGCUUGACCACCUGGCUUAGACUCACCUAUAUGACUGGCUCAUGUUUAGAUAAGCUUUUAAGGUCCAUUGGCAUCUUCUUGUCAGCUGUAAGCAGUAAUCGGUACCUUAUAGAAUUUCUUGAGGUUGGAGGUGUCUUAACGCUCUUGGAAAUACUUGGGCUGGAGAAGAUCAAGGAGGAAGACAAGAAGGAAUCCAUCAAGCUACUUCAGGUUGUUGCAAACUCUGGCAGGAAGUACAAGGAGCUCAUUUGUGAAAGCUAUGGUGUACGAUCCAUAGCAGAAUUUUUGGCAAAGUCUAAGUCAGAAGAGACCCAGGAAGAAGUGCAAGUUCUGUUGGAUUCUUUGGUCCACGGUAAUCCCAAGUACCAGAAUCAAGUAUACAAAGGUCUAAUAGCUUUGCUGCCCUGUGCGUCCCCGAAAGCUCAGCAGCUGUCCCUGCAGACUCUCAGGACUGCCCAGUCAAUCAUUGGAGCCACACACCCCAGCAUCGUGGACUGCGUGCUGAAGGUACUACGCACGAUGCACCUGGAAGUCCAGUAUGAAGAGAAGGAAGCAAACCCUGAAGCGCACUUCUCCCAUGUGGCCAGUAGGUGGCAGUCUUGUCUGGGAGCGAAGAGAGAACCGGGACGUCGGUGUUCCAAGGCUCAAGAAGCAAAGAAUUCCAUCGAGCUGAUCAAGGACCUGGUCAACUACGACGUGUGCCCGGCGCUGCUCAGAGGCCUCGUGGACCUGCUGAUUCCGUCGGUCAGGGAGACCAGCAAACUGCAGCCCAAGAUCCUCAACGGUAGAGACCCGCUAGGACUGAGGGCAAGGGGCACCUGGGCGGGAGCAGGGGGGUCUCCCGCCUCAUGGCUGCCACUCCGCCAGACUCCUCGGUUCUCCAGCUCACCGCCCAGCUGCCCGUGUUCUUGCAGCAGGCCGCGGCCGCCAAGACCAUCGGGUAAGCAGACGGGGGUGGGGAGGGGUGCAGUCCCCCAGCUUCAGCGCUGCCCGCGGGCCCCAGCGCAGCGGCCGGGCACGCGAGCCCCAAGGGGUGGCCGCAGUGCGAAUCCCCUGCCCAGGGUCCUGGCGCGCAGCAACACGAGCCUCGCCCAGGAGAUGCUGCACCUGCGCGUGGUGCACAGCCUGCUGAGCGCCAUGGGCAACACGGACCACAGCAACAGCCAGCGGCAGGCCAGCCUCACGCUGCAGUACUUCGUGCAGACGUUCCCGGUCGUGGAGCAGCACGUGCGCAAGUCCAUGGGGGAGGAACUCUACCAGCUCUUCCUCGUAAGUGCCCCCAUCCCGUCCCGCCACAAAGAGCAAAGGGCACGGACAGAAUGGUGCCCUCUCCACACCGUCCCCACCCUGCUCAACACCACCCACACAGAUGAGGCCUGGUGGCCAGCUGCAGGAGGGACUGCCUGGCGUGGCCUCCUCUCCUGGCACCUUUCCGUUCCUUUUGCUGCCCUUCUAGUCAAGCUAGGAGCCCAACCCCGGCCUGCAACCUCCCUCUGCCCGAGCCCACCCAAGCCUAGACUGCCUUGGCACCUCAGCCAGGUUCCCCUUGCUCCCAUUCUCAGAGCAGCCCCGAGAACUUAUACAUGAAAAUAGAUAGCAUUCAGGCGGACAUCUUGGCUGCCAACAAAGUCAAUGUCACCAGAGAGUUACACCUCACUGAGGCCUGCAGCAGCAUGAGCUUCUGCUUCAGCCCUGGUAAUGAGGAUCAGAACGAAGAUACGGAAGGAAAGGAGUAACAGAGCCUCUGAGGCAGUCCAGGAAGCCAGGGCUGUGUGGCAGGAAGCGUGGCUGAAGGAGCCUGGUGCCCCUAGGCCCUAGGUGGGAGGCUGGGGGUGAGGCCCACCAGUGAGGGAAUGGGAGAGCCGCUGGCUGGGAAGAGCUCAAUAAACAGUCUUGCUGUCUCUCUGUUCUCUGUGUCGGAGGCGGGGAGGGAGAUGGAAUGAAAGCCGGGAUCCUGGGUUGGGGUGCCUCUGCUCACCAAGGAAAAGGGCUGCUCCUGAGGGACCAACAUCCAGAAGGUUCACAGGCACAGCCUGCUGGCCCCUCACUCUCUCCUUCAGGACACACACCCACCUGGUUUGUCUCCUGCCUCUCUGGUUGUUUCUCCUCAUUCUCUUUUGCUGAUUCCUCCUCUUCAACCCAGCUUCUUUCGAGUUGGAGUGAGGCAAGACUCUGACCUCGAGCCUCUAUCUCCUUUUACACCCUAGUGAUCUCAUCCAGGCUCAAGCUUUAAAUACUGCUUCUGUGCACUGACUCCCACACGUCUGUUUCCAGCUAAACACUUCCACCUCAUUGUGCCCAAAACUGAACUCGCGAUCCUGCGCCACCUUCCGCAACUUACUAACGGCAACUCAUCCUUCCUGCCGCUCAGAACAAAGAGUGGAGUUCUUGUCUCUGUUUAACAUCUGUAUCCAUCUGUCUGUUGACUCUACCUUCCAGAUGUAUCCAGAAUCCAGUUCCAACUCACUCCCUCCAUUGCUAAGGCCCUGGUCUUAGCCAUCUAAUGCUUCGCCACCCAGUACCAUCAUCUGUCCUCUAGAUGACUCUGCUUUCUGCCCUAUUCUCUUUUCAAUACAGCAGCCAGAAUGGUCUUUUUAAACUUUAGACUCUAUUGCUCUGUUCAAAACCUUGUAGGGCUGUCCAUUUCACUGAAAGUAAAGCUCACACCCUUGGCCAUAGGGUCUCCCACCACCUCUGAACUCUCUCCUUUCUGCAGUCGCCCUGGCUGUGUGGGUGUUUCCUGAAACUGACAAACAAGCUCUUGCCUUAGGGCUUUUGUCCUGACUUUUCUGUUGAACAGUGAGAGGUUCUGUUCUUAGAACCUCUCUCCCCAGAUAACUAGCUGCCUGGCUAAUUCACUCACCUCCCUUCAGAUCUUUACGCAAAACUGAGGUUCUCAAUGAGGGCUACUCGUUUUUAAGCUGCAACCCACAUUACCACUCCUACAUUCGGGCCCCCAAUCACCCUUACGCUGCUAUUUUUUCCAUAGCACUUAUUUAGUUAUUGUUCCAGCUCCACCAGGGCAGGGAUAUCUGUUACUGAUAAUCGCAAACACUGAGCACAAUGCCUGGCGUGCAUGACUGACUGACUGAGGUGUGUGAGGGAGUUGUCCCUCCAAAGCAGAGGCAGUGAAGUCAGGUGGAAGUAACUCCCCAGGCUGCCACAAGAGGGCACCGCAGGCCCUGAUGUUGUUAGUCUAAGCUCCGCCCCCGCCCCCAGCCUUCCCCAAACUGAUGUCGACCCUCAGCUUUCCUCUAUUUGCGUCGAGGGAAGAGAGAGAAGUUAACAAAACAUAGUCGUGUUUUCCAUAAAGCUAAAUGGAUUUCCUGUUUCAAAGAAAAGUCCUGUCAUUUGGGGUCAAGUCAUUCUUACUGUUUUUAGUCUUGAAAUGGCCUUUCUUUUGUAGAAUGAUGGUAAAAAGCAGUACACCAGAAAUUUUUUGGAAAUUUUAAUAAUUGGAAAAUCAAAACAUCUAGAAACCACUGGUCUAAGGCGAUCAUAGUUUAAGAAAAACAAUGGGGCCAGCCCGGUGGCACAGCAGUCAAGUGUGC